AGGGGAGUAGCUCAGUUGGUAGAGCAGCGGUCUCCAAAACCGCGGGCCGCGGGUUCAAGUCCUGUCUCCCCUGCCA
rnacentral:tRNA from 1 species